rnacentral:rRNA from 1 species
UACAGAGGUCCCAAGCGUUGUUCGGAUUCACUGGGCGUAAAGGGUGCGCAGGUGGCCAGGCAAGUCGGAUGUGAAAGCUCCGGGCUCAACCCGGAAACCGCAUUGGAAACUGCCUGGCUGGAGGUUUGGAGGGGGGACUGGAAUUCUCGGUGUAGCAGUGAAAUGCGUAGAGAUCGAGAGGAACACCAGUGGCGAAGGCGAGUCCCUGGACAACACCUGACACUGAGGCACGAAAGCCGGGGGAGCAAACAGG